CUGAACCAGCCAUGCCGCGUGCAGGAAGACGGCCCUACGGGUUGUAAACUGCUUUCUGCAGGAAGAAUAUAUAGUCUUAGGGGUAUAUUGACGGUACCGCAGGAAUAAGCAUCGGCUAACUCCGUGCCAGCAGCCGCGGGUAAUACGGAGGAUGCAAGCGUUAUCCGGAAUUCAUUGGGUUAAAGGUUGCGCAGGCUGUAAGGCAAGUCAGUGGUGAAAGCCCUGGGCUUAACUCAGGGAUUGCCAUUGAAACUGUUUUACUAGAGUGUAGUAGAGGACGGCGGAAUGAGUUGUGUNAGCGGUGAAAUGCAUAGAUAUAACUCAGAACACCUAUUGCGUAGGCAGCUGUCUAUACUACAACUGACGCUGAGGCACGAAAGCGUGGGGAGCGAACAGGAUUAGAUACCCUGGUAGUCCACGCUGUAAACGAUGAUCACUCGUUGUUGGCUACUUUAGUAGUCAGUGACCAAGGGAAACCGAUAAGUGAUCCACCUGGGGAGUACGUCGGCAACGAUGAAACUCAAAGGAAUUGACGGGGGCCCGCACAAGCGGAGGAACAUGUGGUUUAAUUCGAUGAUACGCGAGGAACCUUACCUGGGCUUAAAUGCUGGCUGCAUUGGAGGGAAACCUUCAUUUCCUACGGGGCCGCCAGCAAGGUGCUGCAUGGUUGUCGUCAGCUCGUGCCGUGAGGUGUCGGGUUAAGUCCCAUAACGAGCGCAACCCCUAUCGCUAGUUGCCAGCAUGUAAUGGUGGGGACUCUAGCGAGACUGCCGGUGUAAACCGGAGGAAAGGUGGGGAUGACGUCAAAUCAGCACGGCCCUUACGUCCAGGGCUACACACGUGUUACAAUGGCCGGUACAAAGAGCAGCCACCUGGCGACAGGGCGCUAAUCUCAAAAACCGGUCUCAGUUCGGAUCGAAGUCUGCAAUUCGACUUCGUGAAGGUGGAUUCGCUAGUAAUCGCGCAUCAGCCAUGGCGCGGUGAAUAAGUUCCCGGGCNUUGUACACACCGCCCGUCAAGCCAUGG
rnacentral:rRNA from 1 species